rnacentral:rRNA from 1 species
AUUGAACGCUGGCGGCAGACUUAACACAUGCAAGUCGACCGAGUGGCGGACGGGUGAGUAAUGAUUGGGAAACUAGCUGAUGGAGGGGGAAAACUACGGGAAACGGUAGCUAAUACCACAUACCAUAUAGAGAUCACAUGUGGGAUUAGAUGGUUGGUGAGGUAAAGGCUCACCAAGCCGACGAUCCCUAGCUGGUCUGAGAGGAUGACCAGCCACACUGGGACUGAGACACGGUCCAGACUCCUACGGGAGGCAGCAGUGGGGAAUAUUGCGCAAUGGGCGCAACCCGGACGCAGCCAUGCCGCGUGAAUGAAGAAGGCCUUCGGGUUGUAAAGUACUUUCAGCGGCGAUGCGUUACCUGCAGAAGAAGCACCGGCUAACUCCGUGCCAGCAGCCGCGGUAAUUC